GCGUUGAAAAGCUCGGGGAUGACUUGUGGGUAGCGGUGAAAUUCCAAUCGAGCCCGGAGAUAGCUGGUUCUCCCCGAAAUAGCUUUAGGGCUAGCCUCAAGGUGAGAGAUACGGAGGUAGAGCACUGAAUGUCCUAGGGGGUAUUGCACCUACCGAAGACUAUCAAACUCCGAAUGCCGUCAUCUUAUACUUGGGAGUCAGACUGUGGGUGAUAAGAUUCAUAGUCGAAAGGGCAACAGCCCAGAUCGUCAGCUAAGGUCCCUAAAUGUAAGUUAAGUGGUAAAGGAUGUGGGAUUGCACAGACAACCAGGAUGUUGGCUUAGAAGCAGCCACUCAUUCAAAGAGUGCGUAAUAGCUCACUGGUCGAGUGAUCCUGCGCCGAAGAUUUCCGGGGCUAAAACUUACUACCGAAGCUACGGCAUCAGUAAUGAUGGGUAGGGGAGCUUCCCAUACGGGUUGAAGCAUGACCGUAAGGACAUGUGGACAGUAUGGGAGUGAGAAUGUUGGCAUGAGUAGCGAGAUGUGGGUGAGAAUCCCACAGGCCGUAAACCCAA
rnacentral:rRNA from 1 species